rnacentral:sRNA from 1 species
UCAUAGUUUCAAUAUAAAAUGUUAUGAGUAGAGGGGAAAAGCCAAGAUUUUUUAGGGUGAACAAGUGGAGUGGAGUUUUUGUUUUUUAAAAUGUUGACUGCUAUGCUUAUUAAAGCCCUCAACAUAUUGGAUUCAUUACUAAUAUCUUAAAACUUAAAAUGAGUAUAUUUCAUCUUUGGCCAUUAAUAUUCUAAUCUUAACAUUGCUAUAAUUAUCUUGAAGCAAAAUUUUACAGAUUCAUGGCACAUAGGGGAAGGGGUAUCUUAAACCUGAAUGCAGGGGUAAUUUCCAUGUUUAUAUCAUGUCCUGUUCAAUUUACAGACUUUUAAAAAUAUAUGCCAAAGAGUUUUUUGCUUCUCUUGUAUAGUAGGAGAGUUGUAAUUUUAACAGUUUUCUCUUAUUUUUAGAUUACAGUAGAAUGCACAUUCCUUGACUAUAUAAUGGGAGGAUGUCAGCUGAAUUUUACUGUGGGAGUGGACUUCACUGGCUCCAAUGGUGACCCAAGGUCUCCAGACUCCCUUCAUUACAUCAGCCCCAAUGGCGUUAAUGAGUAUUUGACUGCUCUCUGGUCUGUGGGACUGGUCAUUCAAGAUUAUGAUGCUGAUAAGAUGUUUCCAGCUUUUGGUUUUGGAGCUCAGAUACCUCCUCAGUGGCAGGUAUCACAUGAAUUUCCAAUGAACUUCAACCCAUCCAAUCCCUACUGCAAUGGAAUCCAAGGCAUUGUAGAGGCGUAUCGGUCUUGUCUUCCUCAGAUAAAACUCUAUGGACCAACUAAUUUUUCUCCAAUCAUAAAUCACGUGGCCAGGUUUGCUGCUGCAGCCACACAGCAGCAGACAGCUUCUCAAUAUUUUGUGCUUUUGAUUAUUACUGAUGGUGUGAUCACAGACCUUGAUGAAACCAGACAAGCUAUAGUUAAUGCCUCCAGGCUGCCUAUGUCCAUCAUAAUUGUUGGAGUUGGAGGUGCUGACUUUAGCGCCAUGGAGUUUCUGGAUGGUGAUGGUGGAAGUCUCCGCUCCCCAUCGGGCGAAGUGGCCAUCAGAGAUAUUGUCCAGUUUGUGCCUUUCAGACAGUUCCAGAAUGCUCCAAAAGAAGCACUUGCUCAGUGUGUCUUGGCAGAGAUUCCCCAGCAGGUGGUGGGCUACUUCAAUACAUACAAACUCCUUCCUCCCAAGAACCCAGCCACAAAACAACAGAAGCAGUGACCACUUCAACAGAAUUCUUUUGUGUUAUGUGGAGCAAUGCCAUCUCUCACCCCAAAUCAUGUAUUUGUCGUUCUAUGUACUUUUUACCCCCAGCAUUUAUGAUGUAAAUCUCUUUCUCUAUGGAUUAUAUCUGUUUAAAGCAUUCUUUCUAGGUUCUUUUGGGGGGACAGUGCCAAGUCCAUCUUUGCCCAAUCAAUUCAGUGAUUGAUAGCGAUUUACAUUAAUUGCAGUAAAGCUCUUUGGAUUAGAAUUAGUGUGGGGAAAGCUUAUUUUGUUGUUGUUUUUGUUUACUUUCAUAUGAUUAAAAUGCUGUUUUUAAGUGUUUGUCAAUAGGAAGAAUGGAAAACUGUUGGGAUGAUGUGGUUUGCAGGUUGCUGUGCCUGAUUCACAGUGUAUGUUGUAUAAGCCAAUGUCCAUACCUGAUUAUGAGAGCUUCUUAAAUUAUAUGAUAUCAAAUUUGUUCCUGUAACUCUGUAUACAGUGCUUUCUGCAAGGUAAAAAUUACCUUUCUGUGCAUCUGAUUUUUGCUACAGUUUAGACACUGUGGUUUACAAAACAGCAUACACUCAACUUGGGACUUUAUGAAAAGUACUGAAUGAGCAGGAAAAGGCACAUACUCAGUUUUUUAAAUGUACAAUCAACAAGUAAAAAUAACCUCAUGUAAGUAAGCCAUUUUUAUUUGCCUUUCUAGAUAUUUUAUUUUAUUGUGGAAAACUGUAAACAUGGUCAGAUUUGGCUUUUUUUUUUCAUUAACUGAGCAAGACUUUCAGGAUGUUGUAGAUGCACAGAUGGUAGGUUGUCCUGAAUUCUACAUUAUUAGAUUACUUUAAUUGAGAUUUGUUAAAAUAGUUAGGACUGUUUUGUCCAGGAAAGAUAAGAGGAUCAAACAUAUAAGGUGAAAUUCAGAAUUCCAUUUCCUUCUAACUAAUGAAAAACUGCUUACUAAAAAAAAAAUUUUAUACUUUCCUUGCUAAGGUCCCAUACAUUGAUUUGUACAGAUCCACUUAGUCAUUUUCUCCUUUUUUUAAGUACCAUUUUCAUCUGAUUUUUAAACUCACGAUACCAGUUAUCUGUUAAUCAAAAUUGCAUUUUACAAUUUAAUAAUGUGCUAUUUCCUAUGUCUACAGCAUACUUUAUUAAGUAUAAAACCUACUGCAACAUAGAAAAAGGAAAGAAAAAAGAAAACUUUUCCAACUGCUGCAUUAAGAUAGGGUGGAUUUUAUGUGCUUUUUUUUUUUUUAAGAGUUGAAUUUCUUUUCCUGACUUUUACAUUUUACAGCGUAUUACUUAGUGAACAUUACAUUUUCAGAAUAGAUCCUAAUAUUUUAUUGAGGGCCUUUGUGCUAAAAACUAUGCAUAUCUAUAUAUUGGCCAAUUAUCUUUAAUAAUUUACCUUUUGAAAUUGCAUGUUUAUCAUAUAUCCUUAAGUGGACACAUACAGUGCCACGUUGAUGUGCCUCUCAGUUUUAUUGAAAAGCUGCCCCACAGCCCAUGUCUCUUGUUCUCUGCAGUGCCUCAAGGGCGUGAGCUCUCAACCACAGAUAGCUGUGGCUUCUCAGAAGCAGGUCAUUGCCAAGGCCAGGCUGAGAGGGGACCUGCUUGCUGUGGUGGUUGCCUAGCCCAGGUGAGCAUUUACCUAACACCUUCCCGCUUGGCGAGCUGUCCUUUGGAUAUGUGCUGUUAACUGGGGAAGGCACCUAACUAGUAGCCUGCUACUCCAUAGUAUGGCUCAAUAGAUGACACAUCAUUUUGACAUUAUCAAUAGGAGAAAAGAAAACUAACCCUUCUUCUGAUUGUUUGGAGCCAUAGUUGUCUCAGAUGUUCUAAUUCUCUUUGUGUGCUUGGAAACAGCAUAGAUACGUUGCUGUGGUUUUCAGAAUUUUCUCUUUUAAUCACAAGAAGCCUUUUAAAAAAUGACUUACACAUAUUCUCAAUGUACAGUAAAACAGACAGAAGUGAGCUUAUCUGUUUGAUGCUGUGGCAGGGUCCCAAUCACUGGGCGUAUCCUCCUUCUCCUUAACCAGCUCCUCGCAGCCCCUGAGUCACCUACACAAGGUACUUGGGAACUGCUGGUCAUGAGCAUUCCUAGUUUUCUUCAACCAAAUAACGGUUAAUCACUGUCAAUUGGAUUUGGUCUUCAUUAUUUUAUAUUCUGAUUUUAUCAGAAUUAUUCUAUUUUAAAAUUGUUUUAAAAUUUAAAAACUUUUAAUUCAUGAUCAUGUUCAUCAGUAGAUGCUAUUAUUCACAAGAACUGUGAUUCCAGCCAACUAGGGUAAUUGGUGCCUUUUUACAGUUUUGAAUAAAAGCAUUUACAAUUUCUAAAUUAUCAGUUUUCACAGUUUCAGCACUCAACCUCAUCACACGCUGAUUUAAUAUUGUUUUAUAUUAAAAUAGUCCUUUUCCCUGUUGUGCCACCAUUAAUUUAAGUGCUAUUUGUUCUUAAAAUGCAUUUAAAGAAAAAUUACCCAUAUUGACUUUUACACUUCAUAUAAUCAGAUCUAUUACAAAUAUAUAUUGGAGUGAGGGUGCCCAGGAGAGAUGUAAUAUUUCUUACAGAUGCUGGGACAGAGGAAAUAAUAUACCAGCUAAUCUAGUCACCUAACCUUGUGGUUAGAAUUGAAAUUUUAAUACCAGAAAAAUUUGAAGUCUGAUCAGAGAUUUACAACUGUUCAUUAUAGUGCUGCCUUAGGCAAUCUUUCCAAAGUAAAUUCAGGGCCCCAUUGCUACUUAUGCUAUAUUUUGACAUACCUUUUUUUUUUUUUUUCAAUUUUGUAAACUUCCUGGAAAGCUGUCUUCACUAAGUAUCCCCUAGCCUCUAUAUGUGUGGUUAGUAGUCAUGGAAAUGACAUAUAAAGUACGCCAGGAGUUUGAUGGAACGUGUUAGAAACUGUUUUGUGCUUUUAUGGAUGUCAUACUUGACAAUAUAUGUAUAAGUUACUAAUAUAUGAAUUGAUGCUAAAUAUAUCUUACAUUCGAAUUCCUUUUGGAUAAAGUUAUUUCUUGAUGU